rnacentral:rRNA from 1 species
GUGUCAGCAGCCGCGGUAAGACGUACCACCCAAACGUUAUUCGGAAUCACUGGGCUUAAAGGGUCCGUAGGCGGUCAGGAAAGUUGGGUGUGAAAUACCUCAGCUCAACUGAGGAAUUGCGCUCAAAACUACCUGGCUUGAGAGAGACAGAGGUGAGCGGAACUGAUGGUGGAGCGGUGAAAUGCAUUGAUAUCAUCAGGAACACCGGUGGCGAAAGCGGCUCACUGGGUCUUUUCUGACGCUGAUGGACGAAAGCUAGGGGAGCGAACGGGAUUAGAAACCCCCGUAGUCC